CCUACGGGAGGCAGCAGUGGGGAAUAUUGGACAAUGGGCGCAAGCCUGAUCCAGCCAUGCCGCGUGAGUGAUGAAGGCCUUAGGGUUGUAAAGCUCUUUUGCCAGGGAAGAUAAUGACUGUACCUGGAGAAUAAGCCCCGGCUAACUUCGUGCCAGCAGCCGCGGUAAUACGAAGGGGGCUAGCGUUGUUCGGAAUCACUGGGCGUAAAGCGCACGUAGGCGGACUUUUAAGUCAGGGGUGAAGGCCUGAGGCUCAACCUCAGAACUGCCCUUGAUACUGGGAGUCUUGAGUAUGGUAGAGGUUGGUGGAACAGCAAGUGUAGAGGUGAAAUUCGUAGAUAUUUGCUAGAACACCAGUGGCGAAGGCGGCCAACUGGACCAUAACUGACGCUGAGGUGCGAAAGCGUGGGGAGCAAACAGGAUUAGAUACCCUGGUAGUCCACGCCGUAAACGAUGGAUGCUAGCCGUUAGCCAGCUUGCUGGGUAGUGGCGCAGGUAACCCUUUAAGCAUCCCGCCUGGGGAGUCGGUCGCAAGAUUAAAACUCAAAUGAAAUUGAGGCUUGAGAGNGCGAGCGACACGAGGAGAGG
rnacentral:rRNA from 1 species